rnacentral:rRNA from 1 species
CCUACGGGUGGCAGCAGUGGGGAAUAUUGGACAAUGGGCGAAAGCCUGAUCCAGCCAUGCCGCGUGUGUGAAGAAGGCCUUCGGGUUGUAAAGCACUUUCAGUGGGGAAGAAAGCCUUGGGGCUAAUACCCUCGAGGAAGGACAUCACCCACAGAAGAAGCACCGGCUAACUCCGUGCCAGCAGCCGCGGUAAUACGGAGGGUGCGAGCGUUAAUCGGAGUUACUGGGCGUAAAGCGCGCGUAGGCGGUCUGAUAAGCCGGUUGUGAAAGCCCCGGGCUCAACCUGGGAACGGCAUCCGGAACUGUCAGGCUAGAGUGCAGGAGAGGAAGGUAGAAUUCCCGGUGUAGCGGUGAAAUGCGUAGAGAUCGGGAGGAAUACCAGUGGCGAAGGCGGCCUUCUGGACUGACACUGACGCUGAGGUGCGAAAGCGUGGGUAGCAAACAGGAUUAGAUACCCGAGUAGUC